GACCUGGUGGCGAUUGGAUCGCGCCCGCCCGGAAUGAAAAAGUCACCCGUCAGGUGCUGCGGGAGUUACCUGGUUCGAAUCCAGGCCAGGUCA